UAUACACACAAUGUAUGGUGACACCUUCAUACAGAGGUAUGCACACUCUAUGGUGACACCCUCAUACAGAGGUAUACACACACUAUGUAUGGUGACACCUUCAUACAGAGGUAUACACACUCAAAGGUGACACCCUCAUACAGAGGUAUACACACACUAUGUAUGUUGACAACUUCAUACAGAGGUAUACACACACUAUGUAUGGUGACACCUUCAUACAGAGGUAUACACACUCUAUGUAUGGUGACACCUUCAUACAGAGGUAUACACACUCUAUGGUGACACCCUCAUACAGAGGUAUACACACACUAUGUAUGGUGACACCUUCAUACAGAGGUAUACACACUCAAAGGUGACACCCUCAUACAGAGGUAUACACACUCUAUGUAUGUUGACACACUCAUACAGAGGUAUACACACUCUAUGGUGACACCCUCAUACAGAGGUAUACACACACUAUGUAUGGUGACACCUUCAUACAGAGGUAUACACACUCUAAGGUGACACCCUCAUACAGAGGUAUACACACACUAUGUAUUGUGACACCUUCAUAGAGAGGUAUACACACUCUAUGGUUACACGUCACACAGAGGUAUACACACGGUGUGCAAUGAUGCUCCGGCCCUUCUUUUAUCCCCUUAAAUGUUGAUGAUAGGAAAGAACCUUGGACUUCGGCAAUGAAAUCCCCAUCGGGCCCUGCAAAUAUUCUGUACUUCUUAAGACUCCUGGAAGCUUUAAGUGGUAUUUUAACGAAACAAAAUGGUAACACUGACUGGAACCGCGCAUCAAUUAGCACAUUUUGUUACAACACCUUUUCUUCUGAUCCUUGUGCACGUUCCUGUUUAUUUAAGACAUGCCAUUGAAUAAUGGUGUUACUGAUGAAUAACUACAAACUAUACCAGUAAACCAAUGUUUUGUCUAUGUCCCUUGAUGUUUCUUCUGUGUAUAGCCAGAUGAACAUCCCCUUCAAUGUUGGGCUGUUCUCAAACAUCAGUUACUCCAGCAAUAAAGGUAUUUUCAGUACAGAAACAGAUCAAGGAGAUGUUGUAAUUUUUUAUAGUAGGCUUACACAAACAAAUCAGUCUAAAAAUAACCUGAAUAUGUUGACUGGAGGUUAAAAUCACUGUGAUCCUAGAAGCAAAUAAUGGAGACAAAGCUGCUUGUUAGUCUUUAAAAACAAAACCAAACAACAAAAUGAGCCAAAACAGUUCCUGUAUUCCACUUCAUAGAACAAUGAUACACAUAUGUAGAAAAUGAUAGUAAACCAUCACUUUAUUUCCUGAAAUAGUCACAUUGUACCUAAACAAAUUCACAAUUAACCGCCAAGCAGUUAAGUUGUAUUAUCUUUCAUUUAUACAAAAAUAUUUGUAAUCAAAACAUGGUAUGUGAUAAAAGUGUUGUUUGUACAUGCAUUAAGACAAAAAGAAGCAUUCGCCAAUGACUUAAUUAAUAAUUAUAGCACUUAAUUAUCGUGACCUACUUUUCAACAAUGUCAUAUUUUUCCGGUCAUUUUUUUCUAAUGAAUGUUUUGAAAUGGACCAUUACGUCAAAAUUAAGAUGACAAAACCAAAAAAUAUAUUUUAGUUUUUUAAUUAUGAUUAUGAAUUUGACCCCCACUUCACCCCUCCAUAACUACUGAAUGACUUUGAACUGACCUUAAUUUCAUGUCAUAUCUUGACCGCCUAACUUCAAGAAAUUAGUAAACAGAAAAUAAAAAAUAUCAGUCAUGGCCGCCAGAAGGCCCAAAUUGGCACUCCUCCUUUGAGAAAGAUCCAUCGAGUACUUUUUCAGAAAUAGUGGUAACAAGAAUUGUUUACGGACGGACGGACCACGGACGCAGGGCGAUUUGAAUAGGGCGAUCUGAUGAUGGUGGGCUAAUAAAUCUGUUGAACAUUUAAUGUAGACAAAAGAAUCAUCGAUCCAGAAGCCUAAAUUGAUCCUGUCAUAAAUUAAAAAGACUUCCAAAGCAUUUCUUUGAAACUUCUACUGCAAACCUAAUAACCAUUUCUUUUACUUAAAAGAAUCAAACUAAAUACCUUAAAUGUACAUACUUUUGCACAGUUUAACCUCAGUGCAAACUAAUGAAUUACAAACAAGAAUGAUUUAAUCAGCAGUCAACAUAGAACAAAUUUAUAUGUGGGUAUCAUGAGUUUGACAUGUCGUAAAACAGACUUAUUGUCAUGACAUCAAUUAGAACAAAGAAUGAUACAAAACUAGUAAUGGUAACUCAUCAUAACCAGCUAUAUAGUCUGAUUUAUUAGCACGGUACACUGAUCUGUUAAUCAGCACUGUUGUUAAAGGUGCUAAAAUAAAUCCAAAAUAAGUACACAGUAUAUAGAUCAAUCAACAAUUUAUUGUGUGGCUGCAAGACAGUAGAGCAUUUUAAGGCCAUACAAAGUUAAUUGCUUAUUUCUCAGGAAAAUUCCCUGCAUCACCAACUUUAUUAA